AUGAACCACUUCGGUGGGGAUUAGUGGCGAACGGGUGAGUAACACGUGGGCAAUCUGCCCUGCACUCUGGGACAAGCCCUGGAAACGGGGUCUAAUACCGGAUACGACCAUCUUGGGCAUCCUUGAUGGUGGAAAGCUCCGGCGGUGCAGGAUGAGCCCGCGGCCUAUCAGCUUGUUGGUGAGGUAAUGGCUCACCAAGGCGACGACGGGUAGCCGGCCUGAGAGGGCGACCGGCCACACUGGGACUGAGACACGGCCCAGACUCCUACGGGAGGCAGCAGUGGGGAAUAUUGCACAAUGGGCGAAAGCCUGAUGCAGCGACGCCGCGUGAGGGAUGACGGCCUUCGGGUUGUAAACCUCUUUCAGCAGGGAAGAAGCGAAAGUGACGGUACCUGCAGAAGAAGCGCCGGCUAACUACGUGCCAGCAGCCGCGGUAAUACGUAGGGCGCAAGCGUUGUCCGGAAUUAUUGGGCGUAAAGAGCUCGUAGGCGGCUUGUCACGUCGGUUGUGAAAGCCCGGGGCUUAACCCCGGGUCUGCAGUCGAUACGGGCAGGCUAGAGUUCGGUAGGGGAGAUCGGAAUUCCUGGUGUAGCGGUGAAAUGCGCAGAUAUCAGGAGGAACACCGGUGGCGAAGGCGGAUCUCUGGGCCGAUACUGACGCUGAGGAGCGAAAGCGUGGGGAGCGAACAGGAUUAGAUACCCUGGUAGUCCACGCCGUAAACGGUGGGCACUAGGUGUGGGCAACAUUCCACGUUGUCCGUGCCGCAGCUAACGCAUUA
rnacentral:rRNA from 1 species